AUACCAUGAUGAGGACAUCUUCUGAGUAACUCUUUAAAUCUUUUCCAUGCAUCAUAUAAACUUUCAUCUUCAAGUUGAUGGAAUGAUGUGAUUUCAUUCCUCAACUU
rfam:Citrus sinensis cultivar Ridge Pineapple sweet orange scaffold00133_contig_3, whole genome shotgun sequence.